AUCCGACCGUGGUUUUAGGCAAAUCCUAUCUGUAAGGGCUUUGACAAGUCUAGAUAGGUGUUUAACCUUUAAAUACCGAUAAGCCGUCCGUGUCCGAUAUGGGUACGGAUUGUGAUGACGACUAGAAAGUCAGCAAGUGGAAGCACUUGUGCGUAGGUUAAGCAGCCUCAUAUACAUGAAAGACUGAUGUAGAGUUCGGUUGGAGCGACAAGUACCUAGCUUGAGAUAGUUAGGUCGCCUUGGUAUGACUAGUGUGAGAAGCUAGGAACCGUAGAGGUAUCUCAAAAACAAGCUUUUGCAGUGACGUCCUCGUAAGUGGACUAUAACAACAGAACUCGUAUUAGUAGCCUAAUUCUGCAAUCCCUUGGUUGGGAAGUGUUGUCCAUAUAGUUCAAGAUGGAGACAUGAAUACAAGAUUAUAUUACUCUUGUUAGGUGAACGUUGGUGGUCGUCGAGCCAGCCCCUCCUUUGUAAAGGACUCUAUGUAGUAGGAAGUCGAGAGCCUAUGAGAGUUAGAGUCGGAGAGAAACAUCUAUUGUCUGCAGUGUAUGUGUGGUAGAGCUAAAAACUCUUGCCUAUUUUAUAAGUUCC
rnacentral:ncRNA from 1 species